rnacentral:rRNA from 1 species
UACGUAGGGGGCAAGCGUUGUUCGGAAUUACUGGGCGUAAAGGGCGCGUAGGCGGCACGGCAAGUCGGGAGUGAAAGCCCGGGGCUCAACCCCGGAACGUCUUUCGAAACUGCCGAGCUAGAGUGCGGAAGGGGCAACUGGAAUUCCCAGUGUAGCGGUGAAAUGCGUAGAUAUUGGGAAGAACACCCGUUGCGAAGGCGGCCGACUGGACCCAUAUUGACGCUGAGGCUCGAAAGCGUGGGGAGCAAACAGG